AUGUGGAUUUGUGGGCACAGGUAACCCGUAUUACCCUCCACCUAUCUCUUUCUCGAUCUCUCUCGUACACACAGAAAAUCAUGAUUUACAUGUUGAUCACCAUUUCAUUGACAUGUAGUGAGUUUUGACUUUUGACUUUUGAUUAGUUGGAUACGUUUCUCUCUUCAAUUUUCUCUCUAGGGUUCCAUUUUUGUCGAUCGGGGGACGGAAAUUUGAUGAUCUCAUUGAGGAGAAGUUGAAAGUGUGCAAUGUUUGAAGGUCAUUAAUCUCAUUCAAAUUCAUUGUAGCAGAGAUGAUUUUGCAAAUUCAGCAAGGUACAAGUUGUUCAUUACGAUAUCUUCCUGCUUCGUUUUAAUUCUAGAAACAAUUCUUCACAUGUGGGGAAACCUCAUGCAUUUGAUCUAUACAUCUUUUUACAAGAAAAAAAGGCGAGUCACGAGACCUUCAUUCUUUUUUGUUUGACCUUCAAGUUUUAACAAUCUAUAAACGUACACUAAACUCACCCUUUCUUUUUAUUACAGCUGACUCCAUUUCCACUCAUCUGAUAAUCAAAAAGCUCCAAGACAUUUUUUCUAAAACAUAUUUGUAAAAAAAAAAUUGAAUACUUGUAAAAUUCAAACAUUUGAUUUUGCUAAAAAGAAUUCAUAUUUUUAUUUAA